UACGUAGGUGGCAAGCGUUGUCCGGAUUUACUGGGCGUAAAGAGCGCGCAGGCGGUCGUUCAAGUCGCGUGUGAAAGCCCCCGGCUCAACUGGGGAGGGUCACGCGAUACUGAUCGACUCGAAGGCAGGAGAGGGUAGUGGAAUUCCCGGUGUAGUGGUGAAAUGCGUAGAUAUCGGGAGGAACACCGGUGGCGAAGGCGGCUCUCUGGGCCUGUCCUGACGCUCAGGCGCGAAAGCUAGGGGAGCAAACAGG
rnacentral:rRNA from 1 species